rfam:Reinekea sp. MED297 scf_1099646007056 genomic scaffold, whole genome shotgun sequence.
GUGGGCGUAGCUCAGUUGGUAGAGCCCCGGAUUGUGAUUCCGGUGGUCGUGGGUUCGAUCCCCAUCGUCCACC